rnacentral:rRNA from 1 species
CCUACGGGCGGCAGCAGUGAGGAAUAUUGGUCAAUGGACGCAAGUCUGAACCAGCCAUGCCGCGUGCAGGAAGACGGCCCUAUGGGUUGUAAACCUCUUUUGUCGGAGAACAAAACCCGGGACGUGUCCCGGCCUGCGUGUAACCGAAGAAAAAGCAUCGGCUAACUCCGUGACAGCAGCCGCGGUAAUACGGAGGAUGCGAGCGUUAUCCGGAUUUAUUGGGUUAAAAGGGUGCGUAGGCGGUACGUUAAGUCAGCGGUAAAAUUGCGGGGCUCAACCCCGUCGAGCCGUUGAAACUGGCAGACUUGAGUUGGCGAGAAGUACGCGGAAUGCGCGGUGUAGCGGUGAAAUGCAUAGAUAUCGCGCAGAACUCCGAUUGCGAAGGCAGCGUACCGGCGCCAGACUGACGCUGAGGCACGAAAGCGUGGGGAUCGAACAGGAUUAGAUACCCGUGUAGUC